CCAGAGUUGACUGAUGUCCCUUUAGAUUCCCUUACGUCACAGCCCCUGGGCAUACCAAUGUACAUACCAUAAUGGAUAUGAGGGAGUUAUUACAGGGAAUCAAGAACAGACAAAUACAUACAACGUACUCACGCAGUGCAGAAGCCCUACCAGGCAGCUGCUCAGGAUCCUGAAUAUUACAACUUCAACACGCAGCACAAGAUCACAAGACUGAAGAGGAUGUGUCCAUCUUCUUCCUGUGAUGAGUUUUGGCAAAAGGAAAUUGGGAAAAGAAGGUAAAGAGGGGGCACCUGGAGUUGAACCAGGGACCUCUUGAUCUGCAGUCAAAUGCUCUACCACUGAGCUAUACCCCCUUGGCUGAGCAACCAGACAAGGAGCAUUAAAAAACAAACUGACAGAGCCCUGACAACCAGAAUUGCAGACAACUACACUGUAUAGAUAUUACACAGGCUGGAACCAGUGCAGUUUCCUCAUUGAUCCAAGUACUAUGGCCCAACAACUGGCACGAUGUGUUCACAGAAACACUGACACAGAUAUUGAUUUUGGCUUUAUAUCCUCAGAUGAAUGCUCAGGGUCAUGAAUACGGAAAUUUGGAAAGCAGUACUAUGGGAAAUGCACAACCAGGCAAAAGAAGGAAAGCUCCUCAUGAUUCUUCUCUGGAAAAAAGUCUACCAUGUGAAGGGGGCACCUGGAGUUGAACCAGGGACCUCUUGAUCUGCAGUCAAAUGCUCUACCACUGAGCUAUACCCCCUGCUGCUGCCUGCCUGCCCAGCACGAAUUUUCCGAGCCAUUCCAGACGUGAAUAAAUUCCUGCAAAUCAUUCCCAGCACAAAAAGAAAUGCUUAAGGAAACACUCAGCUCUCCACUCACCACCACUCCACUGCCAGUCCUCUUCGCGUGGCCAUGUGCUUCUCAGCACCGGGUCAUUGCUGCAUCCACCAAGGGACGUCCCCUGCAGACAGCUGAGGGGAGAAAAAAAGACAAUGGAAAAGCUGAAAAGCAACUUGUGGGGCAGAAAAAGGAGGAAAAGGGGAGGGGGCACCCGGAUUUGAACCGGGGACCUCUUGAUCUGCAGUCAAAUGCUCUACCCCUGAGCUAUACCCCCACCUGUCCAGCACCUCCCAGGUGAGGCCCUUUGUGGCCACUGACAGUGGCACUGCUACAUUCCACUGCCUGCACUCCCAGCUCUGGCUCCCACACAGCAUCCCUUUCAUUAACCUCCUCUGUGCUUCACACGCUUGC
ensembl:lncRNA